CCUUAUGGCGAUUUUGCGGGCAGUCUUCGGACUGGCCGGUUUUCCUUUUGCCCGGUAGCUCUAACCCGCAUCAUCGCCGCCACC
rnacentral:antisense_RNA from 1 species